rnacentral:misc_RNA from 1 species
GGGCUUGGAGCGGAAGUCGAGGAGGGCGGAGUAGGGAUUUGGGGCAGAAGCAGUGGUAGGUGGCGCCCAUCGGUCGGCGAAUUUGGCUAGGACGAGAGAACAGGGCCAGACGGAGGUGCCGACGUGCAUGGAGGCAUUGUCCUGUUGGAUGGAAAGGAGCUUGUCUCGUAUCUGAAGUUCGAUCACCGGUGAGUCGGUGAAUUUCAUUUUUUUUUUUUUCCAGUUGGUUUCCGUUGA